GAUGAAGAACGCAGCGAAACGCGAUACGUAAUGUGAAUUGCAGAAUUCAGUGAAUCAUCGAAUCUUUGAACGCACAUUGCGCCCGCCAGUAUUCUGGCGGGCAUGCCUGUCUGAGCGUCAUUUCAACCCUCAUGCCCCUAGGGCGUGGUGUUGGGGAUCGGCCAAAGCCCGCGAGGGACGGCCGGCCCCUAAAUCUAGUGGCGGACCCGUCGUGGCCUCCUCUGCGAAGUAGUGAUAUUCCGCAUCGGAGAGCGACGAGCCCCUGCCGUUAAACCCCCAACUUUCCAAGGUUGACCUCAGAUCAGGUAGGAAUACCCGCUGAACUUAAGCAUAUCAAUAAGCGGAGGA
rnacentral:misc_RNA from 1 species